CCUACGGGAGGCACCAUUGUGUAAUAUUGGACAAUGGGGGGAACCCUGAUCCAGCCAUGCCGCGUGUGUGAAGAAGGCCCUCGGGUUGUAAAGCACUUUCAGUGAGGAAGAACGCCUGGUGGUUAAUACCCAUCAGGAAAGACAUCACUCACAGAAGAAGCACCGGCUAACUCCGUGCCAGCAGCCGCGGUAAUACGGAGGGUGCGAGCGUUAAUCGGAAUUACUGGGCGUAAAGCGCGCGUAGGUGGCUUGAUAAGCCGGUUGUGAAAGCCCCGGGCUCAACCUGGGAACGGCAUCCGGAACUGUCAAGCUAGAGUGCAGGAGAGGAAGGUAGAAUUCCCGGUGUAGCGGUGAAAUGCGUAGAGAUCGGGAGGAAUACCAGUGGCGAAGGCGGCCUUCUGGACUGACACUGACACUGAGGUGCGAAAGCGUGGGUAGCAAACAGGAUUAGAUACCCCAGUAGUC
rnacentral:rRNA from 1 species